GCAGUCAAGGGGCCCGCAAGGGCACCGGCGAACGGCUUAGUAACACGUGGAUACAUACCGUAAAGUAGGGCACAGCUCGUCGAAAGACGGGGUAAUUUCCUAUAGUCCCACAAGGGUAAAGGCGCAAGCCGCUUUAUGAAUGGUCCGCGGCCUAUCAGCUAGUUGGCGGGGUAAUGGCCCACCAAGGCUAUGACGGGUAGGGGGCGUGAGAGCGCGACCCCCAAGAGUGAGACUGCGACACGGCUCACACUCCUACGGGAGGCUGCAGUCGAGAAUCUUCCGCAAUGGGCGAAAGCCUGACGGAGCGACAUUUCGUGGAGGAUGAAGCCCUUCGGGGUGUAAACUUCUUUUAUUUGGGAGGAAGUAAUUGACAGUACCAGGUGAAUAAGGGGUUACUAACUCUGUGCCAGCAGUAGCGGUAAUACAGAGACCCCAAGCGUUACCCGGAUUUAUUGGGCGUAAAGGGUCCGUAGGUGGUUUGGUAAGUUUAAAAUUAAACCUCAUCGGCUUAACCUUUGAGCUGUUUUAAAUACUGCCAGACUAAGAGGGCGUUAGAGGCAGAUGGAACCGACGGAGUAGGGGUGAAAUCCGUUGAUCUCGUCGGGAACACCAAAAGCGAAGGCAAUCUGC
rnacentral:rRNA from 1 species